GACGGAGGAUGCAAGUGUUAUCCGGAAUCACUGGGCGUAAAGAGUCUGUAGGUGGUUUAAUAAGUCAACUGUUAAAUCUUGAAGCUCAACUUCAAAAUCGCAGUCGAAACUAUUAGACUAGAGUAUAGUAGGGGUAAAGGGAAUUUCCAGUGGAGCGGUGAAAUGCGUAGAGAUUGGAAAGAACACCGAUGGCGAAGGCACUUUACUGGGCUAUUACUGACACUCAGAGACGAAAGCUAGGGGAGCAAAUGGG
rnacentral:rRNA from 1 species